UUGAUAUUAUUAGUGAAAGCAGACCUUAAAAAGAGGGCGCUAUAAAUCUUCUUCUGCGCUGUUAACUUAACUGUAACCACUAUUUUAAAAAAAGCAAGGUAAACGUACUUGACAAAAUUUUAUUCUCUCAAAAUUUCUGACGAAGUUUGGUGAGCUUGAAUCUGUUCUCAUCGUAUUUACUAAUUUUAUAUUAUAACUGAACGUGGUAAAUAAUAUUUCCCAGCUAUGAGGGCUAAGUGGAGGAAGAAGCGUAUGCGAAGGUUGAAGCGUAAGAGGAGGAAGAUGCGUGAAAGAUCCAAGUAAUCUUACUUCAUCGAAACGUAACCAUUAUGGAACCAUCUGUUCUACUGAAUGACAGCUUGCAUGUUGGAUGUGUAGCAGAGGUCCCGUUUGUCAUUUCUUUGGACAUGACUUUCCAAAAUUUGGAAAUUAACCAUCAUACUUUUAAUUAUUGUAGCCAGGUUGCUGGCUUUUUUUUGUUUAUUAAAAGUGAAAUACUGAA